rnacentral:rRNA from 1 species
UACAGAGGUCCCGAGCGUUGUUCGGAUUCACUGGGCGUAAAGGGUGCGUAGGUGGUGAGGUAAGUCGGAUGUGAAAUCUCCAAGCUCAACUUGGAAAUGGCAUUGGAAACUACCUUGCUGGAGGUUUGGAGGGGGGACUGGAAUUCUCGGUGUAGCAGUGAAAUGCGUAGAUAUCGGGAGGAACACCAGUGGCGAAGGCGGCGACCUGGGCCAAUAUUGACGCUGAGGUGCGAAAGCGUGGGGAGCAAACAGG